rnacentral:rRNA from 1 species
AUGUAUGUUCGCAACUUCGCUCGUCGGCUACACAAGUGCAAGACUCCAGCUCUAUUAUUCAAGCUGGACAUCAAAAAGGCUUUUGACUCAGUCCGAUGGGAGUAUGUCUUGGAUCUCAUGCAACGCAUGGGGUUCCCUGAUAAAUUCAGAAAUUGGAUUGCGGCAUUGCUUUCGUCCUCGUCCUCGCUCUUCCUCCUCAAGAGCCUGCCUGGCCCCCCCAUCAGGCAUGGACGUGGUUUUCGCCAAGGAGACCCCAUCUCGCCUCUGCUCUUCAUGCUCGCAAUUGACCUGUUGCACAAGAUCCUCGACUUGGCUACGCGCAAGGGAAUCAUUCAUAAGAUUUGUGGCCGAGGUACAAUGGUCAGAACCUCCCUCUAUGCGGAUGACGCUGCCGUGUUCAUGGCGCCAAUUAAGAGUGAUAUUGACAACCUUGCAACCAUCUUAAAAGGCUUUGGAGACGUCACGGGCCUUUGCACCAACUUCCACAAAAGCUUUGUCGUUCCCAUUCGAUGCGCCAACCUUGAUCUUGUGAGCAUUCUCAGCAGCAUCCCGGCGACCAGGGCGUUUUUCCCUAUCAAAUACUUGGGCCUCCCGGUCUCGGUUUAG